AGACGGUUUUGACCAAUCCGCUCCAUGCUUCCGCAGCCAAUCCGCCUCGUCCCACUCCCGCCCCAGCCGCCACACAAACCCUAGCCCUCUUUUCCCUCGAUCCCCAUGAGCCACCGCACCCCUCCCUCGAUCCCCAGUUCCCCAUGAUCCUCUCCUAGCCCGCAGCCACCGGCCUUGUCUCUCCACUCGCCUCCUCCUUUCCUCUACCAUGUCGUCGUCGCUCCCACCACCGUCCUUCUCCUCUGCUUGCCUCAUCGGGUCCUCUUCCAUGCCACCUGUCUAUCCAGAGCGGCGGCGGGGUCUUCGAGUUGCAGGGAAGAUGGAAGAGGCCGGCGACAUGCGGGACGAGCAGGUCGGCCCUGGUUCAUCGUGAAGGCGCAUCCGACACCGCUCUCCAUGUCGUUUCUCCUCCCUUUCUUCCCUGAAGAAGCCCGCAAGAGCAGUGAACCAUGGAGGAUUUGGGGGCUGCUCAGGUUUGGAGCAGCAAACCAUGGAGGAUAUGGGCGCUGCACGAGCUUGGAGCAGCAAGCCAUGGCAACAAAGGAUGAUAUUUCCUUGCUGGUUAGACAACAUAUGGGAUAAGGAUGUGUAUGUUGCUGAUUUUGGUGGUUUGGACAUGGAUUUGAGGGUGGAGAAGGGCCACAGGAAGGGUAUUUGGUGGAGGGAGACGUCCAGGACCAGAAGUGUGAAUUAAAUGCACACUAACUGUUUGGUGAAAUGCAAGUACAAGGUGUUCUCGUUAUGCUUUGGUUCCUCAAUCUUUCUAAUGUUUUCUCUUGAUGUAGCAUCGUUUUUAUUGCAGGCAUUGAUAUAUUUCUAUUUGUGCCCACGCUAGGCAAUAUAAGGUCUUUAAUGCAUGCAUUAUCCCAUCUUCAGCUGAGUAUCCAGUUGAGCAUAAGCACAACCUUGCUAAGGUCAGUUAAAAAGGGCAGAGCCUUAGCCUUGGUUCUGCAGGAGGGAAACAAAAGAUUAUUUGUUUAUUUUUAUGCCUACUAUAGAUCGUGUUUGUCGUUUACAAUGCCCACUUUUUAAUGGAACACAUUUAGAGUGCAUUGAAUGGAAAAUUCUACUCUUUAGUCUGUAAAGAGUUGCAAGGAGAAGGACAAUAUCUUGGUUGAUGCCAUCAGUGAGAUUUAGCCCUUAUUUUGAGCCCUUAUUUUGCAUUUGCUUCGCUUCUCUAAAGAUUUGUUCCUACUGCAGGAGAGACGUGAGGGUUGGUUGGUUGCAUUCGUGUUGCUGAUCCGGACAGCGGCGAGGAAGGCAAGCAACAGCGGGGAAUGAGCAGGUGAGCGAUCCUAGCGUGGGGAAGGGGCAGGGUGGGGCCUCGCGCACCUGCCGGCGGCCGGCGGGAGCUUGAGCUCGAGACGAUGGAGGUGCUAAGGCGGGGCAGGAGAGGACGGCUCGCCGACGAGCUCGAGUUGGAGGCGGUGAGAUCUUUUCCUUCAUGGCUUCCCACCCGCUGAGCUCGUUGGUCCUCCUCCCUCCCCGUGCGGUGGCUUCGUCCUUCGUCGCUCGACUUACCAUCUACCCCUGGUACGCCUCCAUCCUUUGUCCCUUGCUCCGUGGCCCGGAUGUCGAGGGAGGGCGAGAGGUGGUGAUAUGAAGAGGUGAGGGAGAUGGAGGCGGUUACCUACAGCUCCUAUUGAAGGGGUGGAGAAGAGGGGGUGCUCGUGUGGAAGAACAGUUUUAGAUUUGAGAAAGAAGAUGAACAGAAGAAUCCAAUAGAAGAUUUGGUGAAGAACAAGGUGACCAACUCUCUCUUGUGUGAAUGUUCGUCUCUCUUUUGUAGAAAAUUGGUUAAAGAGCCCAUGUUAUUUUGCUUGGCUUAUAUUCAGAAGGGACAAUACAAUGCUCUUUGGAGUCAAGUUACCUCAUAUACUGGUGGUCAGUAAACCAACUACUAAGAAGGAUUGGCUACAUAAAGCAAUGACCUUGUGUUCAUCAUGGUACUAGCAGAUAGGCAGGUAUUCGUGUAUCAGUUGCUUGAUGUGCUUACUUUACUAGCAAACAAGCUUCCUGGUUGAUUAGGGGUAUGUCAAGGUGUAGGUGCAGACUCAUUGUUGAUGUUGAAUACUGGAGUAAGAAUGAUGAUCAGUGCUCUGACCGUGCUGCUGGAGAUAAUGAUGCGAGCUCGACCAGUUCAUGCUCCGAUGCUCCGCCGACUGGAGAACCAGGAACGAGGAGGGGCGUGAAGGGGAGAAGGGGGUGCGACGGAGAAGGAGACAUGCCCGCAGGAGAGCACGGAGCGCCGACGUGUGCUUUGUGAAAAAAGAAAGAGACGAAUUGAUUUGCAUUUCUUAUCAAUCUCUUUUAUAAUUAUUUAUCUAUGUAAUCUCCUGUUAUUAGAUGAUGAAGUUAUGUUUGCAUUUCUUAGUAACUUUCGUGGAUCAUCUGUGCUUGUGCAGAUUUUAUUUCUGUACGCCUACAAGGUGUUCGACGAAAAUCCCAGAAGGCUGGCAGGGGAAGAAUGAUCUAUUCUGUACAAUCUCGAAGACUGCUGCUUCUUUGGUCUGUUCACCAAGUCAUGCAUACCCACUUAAGAAUGAACAAGGCUAAGCUGCAUGUAUAUCUCCUUACAAGAAGAUCCUUGGGGUGUCAGACAUGUUUUAUUCCACUGCUACCAAGAAGAUAAAUGCGGCAGCUGAGCCUAUAGUUCCUGCUGAGGAACACCCCAAGGUUGACAGUGACACUGCAGAUGGAGCUUCUCUAACCGCUAUCGAAGACACCGUUGUUCAUUUUAACCAGCCAAUAUGGAAGAGAAGAAGACGGAGCCAUAAACAAAAAUGACUCUGGAUAUAUCAUAUUUUCCUUUAUAACCCCUUUUCACUGGUUAGGCCCAGCCCAGCAAACGUCUGUCGGCCGCAUGAGCUCCAUGUGAGAUCUUUAGCAUUUGUUCUGAGAUAAAGAAUUCGGUUCUUUAACUCAUCAUAGAGCAUCCAGCACAGCAAAACCCAAAAAGACCUUUAAACCAUGCCUAUAUAUAAUAUCAUGCAAAUUCUUGGUUUUUAUUAGUUUCACAUGCUAAAGUAUAUAGUUUGAACAUAGGUAUUUCAAAUGUAAAAGUUUUAGAAUUAUUACCUCGAGUGCUUGCUAAAACCCGAAGUUACUAACAAAUGCAAAUAUUUCUUGUUAUAAAAGGUUUAGAAUUAUUACCCGAGUGCUUGCUAAAACCCGAAGUUACUAACAAAUGCCCACAACUAAACCAACUAAAACAUGGUGUUUUUCACCGUGCACAUGGAUUCAGCGUCUCUACGCCAUAUGCCCUUGCAAAAUGAGACUAUUUUCAUCGACAACAUGGCUUUAGCGGGUCUCUGCGCCAUUUGGCGCGAUUCAGUUUUAGUUUUUCACUCAGACAUACAGUUGUUAGUGUUGUUAAUCCAUACAUAGUAGUAUCUGUAACUUGAUGUUAUCGUAUCUUUCAUUCAAGAUCUUGUGCAAGAUUACAUGCAUAUUUUCCUUUGCUGUAGACCCAUGUUGAUUUCUGGACCCAAAUUCUAAUGGGUCUCUUGCAGGCGACGUGAAGAUUUUGCCUAUUCUCUAAGAUGGAUGAUGAUGAGCGGUGCAAUCGAAAAUUCAGAGCUGGGCUUUACACACUUCAGUGGGAGUAGCAUGGCAACACCAAGGUAGAGACCUGAAGAGAAGCAAGGGGAUGGACCAAGGAAACUAGAACCGUGCUGUCGUGAUGUGGGUCGUGUCGUCUUCGUCCAUCUCCAUGGAGGUAUAUAUACAUAGGUUAGGUAUAGGAAAGGAGACCAUCUCCAUGGAAUUCUGAGUGAUGUGUAAUGUCCUCAUAGGACCGGACCGUUUACAAAGGGAGUACUUGAAAAUAGAUUCUUUAUAUAUUGUUUGGUUCCAUCAGCCGCAUAACCUAAAUUAGCAAUUAGCUAUCUAAACAGUGUAGUGUAACCAUUAUGCUUGCUGCAGUUACUUUAGUGUUGAAAUGUUUA